rnacentral:tRNA from 1 species
UGGGAGAUCGUCUAAUGGUAGGACAGCGGCCUUUGAAGCCGUUAAUCUUGGUUCGAUUCCAAGCCUCCCAGCCA